CAAACUUAGGCAGAUCCAAGUGACCAGAGCGUCCUGCUGAUGGGACGAGGAGGACACCAGAUUGCACGGCAGGUCCCCUAACUGAACUCAGCAAGCCCUUCAGGUCUUCCUCCACCAGACUCCUCGAGGGACAGUGUUCAAGACCCCAGCAGGGCUGUGGAUGCCGUUCAGUUGGAAGCAGAGGCAGGAGACUCAGAAGCUCAAGAACAUCUCCAGCUACACAGCAAGUUCAAGACCACUACGUGAAACCCUGCCUCAGACCUAGCAGUGGGCUGGAGAAAUGGCUCAGGAGUUAGUGAGUACACUCUUCUUAUGGAGAACCAGAGUAUCCUUUCCAGUGCCCGUGUAGUGGGACUUAUAACGGCCUGUAACCGUGGCUCGGGGGGAUCUGACCCCCUCUUCUGUUCUCUGAGGACACUAUAUUCACAGGCACAUACUGCCCCCCAACACACACACACACACACACAGUCUCUCACACACAUACGCACAUAUACAAUCACAUACAGUCACACACACAUACAUAAUCAUACACACACUCACACACACACACAGUCUCUCACAUAUGCACAUAUACAGUCACAUACAGUCACACACACACACAGAGUCUCUCACACACAUACACACAUAUACAGUCACAUAGUCACACACACAUACAUAAUCAUACACACACUCACACAUGCACACACACAUGCGCACACACACAGAGUCUCUCACACACACAUAUACAGUCACAUACAGUCACACACACAUACAAAAUCAUACAGUCACAUACACACACACAGAAUCUCUCACACACAUACACACAUAUAUAGUCACAUAUAGUCACAUACAUAAUCAUACACUCACACACACAUACACACACACACAGAGUCUCUCACAUACAUCUGCACAUAUACAGUCACAUAUAGUCACACACACAUACAUAAUCAUACACACACUCACACACACAUACACACAUAUAUAGUCACAUAUAGUCACAUACAUCCAUACAUACAUAAUCAUACACACACACACACACACACACACACAGAGUCUCUCACACACAUCCGCACAUAUACAGUCACACACAUACAUAAUCAUACACACACUCACACAUACACACACACAUGCACACACACAAGUCUCUCACACACAUACACACAUAUACAG
ensembl:lncRNA